rnacentral:rRNA from 1 species
GGCAGCAGUGGGGGAUAUUCGACAAUGGGGGCAACCCUGAUCCAGCGACGCCGCGUGAGGGAAGAAGGUUUUCGGAUUGUAAACCUCUGUUGACGGAGAAAAAAAUGAUGGUAUCCGUUUAGAAAGCCACGGCUAACUACGUGCCAGCAGCCGCGGUAAUACGUAGGUGGCAAGCGUUGUCCGGAAUUACUGGGUGUAAAGGGAGUGUAGGCGGGAUAUCAAGUCAGAAGUGAAAAUUACGGGCUCAACUCGUAACCUGCUUUUGAAACUGACAUUCUUGAGUGAAGUAGAGGCAAGCGGAAUUCCUAGUGUAGCGGUGAAAUGCGUAGAUAUUAGGAGGAACACCAGUGGCGAAGGCGGCUUGCUGGGCUUUUACUGACGCUGAGGCUCGAAAGCGUGGGGAGCAAACAGGAUUAGAUACCCUGGUAGUCCACGCCGUAAACGAUAAUGGCUAGGUGUGGGGGGAUUGACCCCUUCCGUGCC